AGGGCAUAUCGUCCUCGCUUUUCUGCACCGUAAGGUGGUGCAGGAAUAAGGGCUGGGCAAGACCGGUGCCAGCCGCCGCGGUAAUACCGGCAGCCCGAGUGAUGACCGCUAUUAUUGGGCCUAAAGCGUCCGUAGCUGGCCUCGCAAGUCCAUCGGGAAAUCCGCGUGCCCAACACGCGGGCGUCCGGUGGAAACUGUGGGGCUUGGGACCGGAAGACCAGAGGGGUACGUCCGGGGUAGGAGUGAAAUCCCGUAAUCCUGGACGGACCACCGGUGGCGAAAGCGCCUCUGGAAGACGGAUCCGACGGUGAGGGACGAAAGCUCGGGUCACGAACCGGAUUAGAUACCCGGGUAGUCCGAGCUGUAAACGAUGUCUGCUAGGUGUGACACAGGCUACGAGCCUGUGUUGUGCCGUAGGGAAGCCGUGAAGCAGACCGCCUGGGAAGUACGUCCGCAAGGAUGAAACUUAAAGGAAUUGGGGGGAGCCC
rnacentral:rRNA from 1 species